GGCCCCGUGGCGCAAUGGCAGCGCGUCUGACUCCAGAUCAGAAGGCUGGGUGUUCGAGUCACUCCGGGGUCA
rnacentral:tRNA from 3 species